rnacentral:rRNA from 1 species
UACGUAGGGUGCGAGCGUUGUCCGGAAUUAUUGGGCGUAAAGAGCUUGUAGGCGGUUUGUCGCGUCUGCUGUGAAAAUCCGGGGCUCAACCCCGGACUUGCAGUGGUGACGGGCAGACUAGAGUGUGGUAGGGGAGACUGGAAUUCCUGGUGUAGCGGUGGAAUGCGCAGAUAUCAGGAGGAACACCGAUGGCGAAGGCAGAUCUCUGGGCCAUUACUGACGCUGAGGAGCGAAAGCAUGGGGGAGCGAACAGG